AGCAGCCGCGGUAAUUCCAGCUCCAAUAGCGUAUAUUAAAGUUGUUGCAGUUGAAAAGCUCGUAGUUGAAUUUCGGGGUUAGUAGGUUGGUCAUGCCUCUGGUAUGUACUGGUCUCACUGAUUCCUCCUUCCUUAUGAACCGUAAUGCCAUUAAUUUGGUGUUGCGGGGAAUUUGGACUGUUACUCUGAAAAAAUUAGAGUGUUUAAAGCAAGCUAACGCUUGAAUACAUUAGCAUGGAAUAAUGAAAUAGGACGUUCGAUCUUAUUUUGUUGGUUUCUAGGAUUGACGUAAUGAUUAAUAGGGAUAGUUGGGGGCAUUAGUAUUCAAUUGUCAGAGGUGAAAUUCUUGGAUUUAUUGAAGACUAACUACUGCGAAAGCAUUUGCCAAGGAUGUUUUCAUUAAUCAAGAACGAAAGUUAGGGGAUCGAAGACGAUCAGAUACCGUCGUAGUCUUAACCAUAAACUAUGCCGACUAGGGAUCGGAUGAUGUUAAUUUUUAAUGACUCAUUCGGCGCCUUAA
rnacentral:rRNA from 1 species